UACGGAAGGCAGCAGUGGGGAAUAUUGGACAAUGGGCGCAAGCCUGAUCCAGCCAUGCCGCGUGUGUGAAGAAGGCCUUCGGGUUGUAAAGCACUUUUGUCCGGAAAGAAAAGCUUAGGGUUAAUAACCUUGAGUCAUGACGGUACCGGAAGAAUAAGCACCGGCUAACUUCGUGCCAGCAGCCGCGGUAAUACGAAGGGUGCAAGCGUUACUCGGAAUUACUGGGCGUAAAGCGUGCGUAGGUGGUUUGUUAAGUCUGAUGUGAAAGCCCUGGGCUCAACCUGGGAAUGGCAUUGGAAACUGGCUUACUAGAGUGCGGUAGAGGGGUGUGGAAUUCCCGGUGUAGCAGUGAAAUGCGUAGAUAUCGGGAGGAACAUCUGUGGCGAAGGCGACACCCUGGACCAGCACUGACACUGAGGCACGAAAGCGUGGGGAGCAAACAGGGAUUAGAUACC
rnacentral:rRNA from 1 species